UGUGCCGAUAACAACGGAGGAUGCAGUCACAGCUGUGUGAACACUGGUGGGAGCUACCACUGCACCUGCCCUGAUGGGUACCGGCUGGCGGGGGCAACAAACUGCGUGGAAGUCAACGAGUGUGACAGCAAUCCAUGCUGCAACGGCGGGACCUGUCAGGACCUGAUAGACCGGUACAGGUGUGUCUGUCAACCAGGAUGGACAGGAGUCAACUGUGAAUCAGACAUAAAUGAAUGCGAUGCCAAUGCUGGGCAGGGACCUUGUGAUGCUACAAAUGGUAUCUAUUAGAAUUCUCCUGGAAGUUACCGCUGCUGGUGUAAACCUGGGUUGGAACUCCAAGUUGACCUUCACAGUUGCAGAGACAUAAAUGAGUGUGACGAGGCCCAACACGACUGUGAGCAGACGUGCCUCAACAUCAACGGCGGAUUUUCAUGCGGAUGUGACGGCGGUUUUCUCCUCAAUGCCGAUGGGAAGACUU